UUAUAACAAUACAUAAUAUUACUUUUUGAUUUAUAAAAAAUUAAAAUUAAACUUCGAUCAAUUGAGAUCACCAAUCGCAUCUAACGAAGUAAAAUCUUGAAGUUCUUCGUCCUGUUCGAAAAGUGUCAUUUCUUGAUCCGCCAUAACAACCCAAGCUUCAAUUCCGCCAAGAAAUUCUUUAGAAUCUAAUAAAACAAUAUUAUCUUUUACCCCAAGAAACGCGACGAUCGUUAAAAUAGGCUCACCCCAUCCAAAGUUUGCUUCAUAAAUCGGAAAUUUACACCAACUUGAAAUUCUUAACACACGAAUAUCAUCCCCUUGACUCAUAAUCAAUUCUCCAACUUGCUUAAAAUUACUGUUUACAAACUCAAA
rnacentral:misc_RNA from 1 species